UACGUAGGGUGCGAGCGUUAAUCGGAAUUACUGGGCGUAAAGCGUGCGCAGGCGGUUCGUUGUGUCUGUGGUGAAAGCCCCGGGCUUAACCUGGGAAUGGCCAUGGAAACUGGCGAGCUGGAGUGUGGCAGAGGGGGGUGGAAUUCCGCGUGUAGCAGUGAAAUGCGUAGAGAUGUGGAGGAACACCGAUGGCGAAGGCAGCCUCCUGGGCCAGCACUGACGCUCAUGCACGAAAGCGUGGGGAGCAAACAGG
rnacentral:rRNA from 1 species